rnacentral:rRNA from 1 species
GGCCGCGGGAAUUCGAUUCAGGCCUAACACAUGCAAGUCGAACGGCAGCACGGAGCCUGCUCUGGUGGCGAGUGGCGAACGGGUGAGUAAUAUAUCGGAACGUACCCUGGAGUGGGGGAUAACGUAGCGAAAGUUACGCUAAUACCGCAUACGAUCUACGGAUGAAAGUGGGGGAUCGCAAGACCUCAUGCUCGUGGAGCGGCCGAUAUCUGAUUAGCUAGUUGGUAGGGUAAAAGCCUACCAAGGCAUCGAUCAGUAGCUGGUCUGAGAGGACGACCAGCCACACUGGAACUGAGACACGGUCCAGACUCCUACGGGAGGCAGCAGUGGGGAAUUUUGGACAAUGGGCGAAAGCCUGAUCCAGAAAGGCCGCGUGAGUGAAGAAGGCCUUCGGGUUGUACUUUAAAGGGGUCAGGGAAGAAACGGUGAGGGCUAAUAUCCCUGCUAAUGA